AUCAGAGGCUUUUAUUAUCAA
rnacentral:piRNA from 1 species